GGUUUUGGAUUCAGGGACAGUGAAAGAAUAUAGUCCACCACAUGAUUUGCUACAAAACAGUGAGAGCCUAUUUUAUAAGGUGGUGCAACAACUAGGUGAGGCUGAGGCCACUGCCCUCACUGAAAGAGCCAAACAGGCACACACCUAAAAGAAAUAACCAGAUGUUACUCACAGUGGCCGUGUGGUUAUGAAUGCUUCCAAUGGACAGCCCUCAGCCUUAAUGAUUAUUGAGUCAGCACUGGGAUUCUACCAUGAUGUCAAGUCUGUUCCAAAGGUGUUUUUCCAAUAGUUUUUGCUUUUUUUAUACUAGUCCCAAAUAUUUACACAUAGAUAUUAGUUUAUUUGGAUUUCUUUUCUCCAAUUUUACCCAAUGAUUUCAAGCUCUAACAAAAUGAUUUACUAUUUUUAUUUAUAUAUUAUACUAAUUUUUUCUUAUCCAAAUCAGAGCUGAAAUCCACUAGUAAAAGCUGUCUACCAGCUUUAGUGCCUUGAGAGACUCCAGAACCAAAACUCAUUUUAUAAGGUAUAUAAAAAAAGUUGUCACAGAUGUCUUUUACUGUUCCUAAAAUUACAUAUUUCUUUCCAAUUUUUUCAGGGGUUCUAUUUACUUGAAGACCAUGUGAAGUCACCAUUUGUUUUACCACUUUCUUUAACAGUGCUAGGAUCCAUUAUUGCACACAAAUAUCUCCGAUUAAAAGAGUACAGAGAAAAACACAAAAAUAUAUAUACUUUGGUUUAUGUAAGAUAGGAAAGAGAGGUAUCCUCUGCCCAAAUUCAAAAGAUAUAUGGUUUAAAUAUAUAAAGAUGAUAUUUGAUUAUAUGUUCUAAAACAGAAGGAACAGAAAAUAUGCUUUCUCAAAAUAGGAGCACUUCGAGGUGAUCACUGUCUUCUAGAUGGAGAAUUGUAUUGUAUUCUAUAUUUUACAUUUUUAAAUUUAUAACACAAAAUUUUCUAUGAUAACCAUUUUAACAUACAAUUCACUGCAUUAGCCACAUUCACAGUGUCAUGAAACCAUCACCAUCUAGUUCAUUUUUAGUGAUUAUUUUAGACCAUUCAGUUUAUUAUUUCUACAGUCAUUUUUGGAAAGUUUCAUUUCUUUAUGAAUUCAUCUGUUUCAUGUAAGUUUUCAGCUUGAUUGGCUUAAAAUUAUUCAUAAAAUCUUGUGUUUAAUAUCUACAGUAGCUAUAAUUGGGUUCUAUUUUGCCUUUUAAUUUUCUUUGAGCCUUGUUUUUUUUCCUUGAAUAAUCUUGCUUGAUUUUUUCCUAUUAAUUUUCAAAGUAUCAAAUUCUGUGCUUAUUGAUCCUAUCUGGUUUUAUGUUUUCUUGCUCAUCAUAUUCUUCCAUUCCUUCAAUUUUUCUUCAUUUGAGUUUUUAUCCCUAAAUUCUUUAAUUGGAAACAUAUCAAUUUUUAACUUUUUUCCCCCACUAAUGCACGUACAUAAAACUUACUUUUUUAUUCCAUCUAAAGGCCCACUUUAGCUGUAGCCUACAAUUUUGGUACUGAGUACUGAUCAAUAAUCAUAGUGUUAUGUAUUUUCCAAUUAUUAAUUUGAUUCUUUAAUUAUAUAUUUCAUUCAUGUGUUAUUCAUCAGUGUAAUGUUCUCUAAACUCCAAAUUCUAAUAGCUAUUUUUCUCUUUUAUUAGCCAUGUAAAAUUGCUAACAGACAACCUUUAUUAGCCCAUAAAAUUAGAAGUUUCUUAUGGUUCAAUGUAACAGUUUUCUUUUGAAAUUUUAAACCAAACGUUUAAAAUAUUGACAUACAAAGUCCUUGUUUCCACCAUUUUUAUAUUAUAUUUGUGGGAUUUUAAAAUGUUGUAAGUAUGUGUAAAAUCAGAAAUUUUCAAAUAAAAAUUCUUCCCAAAU